rnacentral:rRNA from 1 species
UACGAAGGUCCCAAGCGUUAUCCGGAUUUAUUGGGUUUAAAGGGUGCGUAGGCGGGUUAUUAAGUCAGUGGUGAAAGCUCCAUGCCUAACAUGGAAAUUGCCAUUGAUACUGAUGAUCUUGAGUACAUUUGAAGUGGGCGGAAUGUGUCAUGUAGCGGUGAAAUGCUUAGAUAUGACACAGAACACCGAUUGCGUAGGCAGCUCACUAAACUGUAACUGACGCUGAGGCACGAAAGCGUGGGGAGC